GAAAUGCGAUACGUAAUGUGAAUUGCAGAAUUCAGUGAAUCAUCGAAUCUUUGAACGCAUAUUGCGCUCUCUGGUAUUCCGGAGAGCAUGCUUGUUUGAGUAUCAGUAAACACCUCAACUUCCAUAUCUUUUUUGAAAUGGGAGUUGGACUUGAGUGAUCCCAACGCUUUUCCUCACCGAAAAGUGGCGGGUUACUUGAAAUGCAGGUGCAGCUGGACUUUUCUCUGAGCUAUAAGCAUAUCUAUUUAGUCUGCCUAAAAAACAGAUUAUUACCUUUGCUGCAGCUAACAUAAAGGAGAUUAGUUCUUGUGCUGACUGAUGCAGGAUUCACAAAGACAGGCUUCGGCCGACUUUGUAAACUCGAUCUCAAAUCAAGUAAGACUACCCGCUGAACUUAA
rnacentral:misc_RNA from 1 species